rnacentral:rRNA from 1 species
UGGGGAAUAUUGGACAAUGGGCGAAAGCCUGAUCCAGCAAUGCCGCGUGAGUGAUGAAGGCCUUCGGGUUGUAAAGCUCUUUUACCCGGGAUGAUAAUGACAGUACCGGGAGAAUAAGCCCCGGCUAACUCCGUGCCAGCAGCCGCGGUAAUACGGAGGGGGCUAGCGUUGUUCGGAAUUACUGGGCGUAAAGCGCGCGUAGGCGGCUUUGUAAGUUAGAGGUGAAAGCCCGGAGCUCAACUCCGGAACUGCCUUUAAGACUGCAUCGCUAGAAUUGUGGAGAGGUGAGUGGAAUUCCGAGUGUAGAGGUGAAAUUCGUAGAUAUUCGGAAGAACACCAGUGGCGAAGGCGACUCACUGGACACAUAUUGACGCUGAGGUGCGAAAGCGUGGGGAGCAAACAGG